rnacentral:rRNA from 2 species
CAGUCGAGCGAUGGAUUAAGAGCUUGCUCUUAUGAAGUUAGCGGCGGACGGGUGAGUAACACGUGGGUAACCUGCCCAUAAGACUGGGAUAACUCCGGGAAACCGGGGCUAAUACCGGAUAACAUUUUGAACUGCAUGGUUCGAAAUUGAAAGGCGGCUUCGGCUGUCACUUAUGGAUGGACCCGCGUCGCAUUAGCUAGUUGGUGAGGUAACGGCUCACCAAGGCAACGAUGCGUAGCCGACCUGAGAGGGUGAUCGGCCACACUGGGACUGAGACACGGCCCAGACUCCUACGGGAGGCAGCAGUAGGGAAUCUUCCGCAAUGGACGAAAGUCUGACGGAGCAACGCCGCGUGAGUGAUGAAGGCUUUCGGGUCGUAAAACUCUGUUGUUAGGGAAGAACAAGUGCUAGUUGAAUAAGCUGGCACCUUGACGGUACCUAACCAGAAAGCCACGGCUAACUACGUGCCAGC